rnacentral:lncRNA from 1 species
UCCACUACCUUGGGGGACAUAUGGCAUCUAUCAUUUUUAACCCUGCUACAUCUGGUAAGAAGGAUCAAUAUUCCCCUUAUUGGAAGACUACCAAAUAUUCACGUUGUCACAGGAAGCUUUUUCUCACAAAGCAACGCCUGCGUUUUUGUCACACAUACUCACUGCUUUGGCAAACCCAAAGCCAAUUUGUUUGAACUAACCUUUAACAUUCUGGAUGGUGGCGGGGAAAGCAUUCUGGCACAUCACCAUUGUGAAGUUAAUUGCCAAGGGUAUUAUGAAGGGAUUAUUCUAAGGUGGAGUCAUGCCCUGAAGUCUAAGCCUGGUGGCUUGGCUGAUGAGGAUGUUCCUGCACCUUUUGCUGAUUGAGUCCAUUAUGUGUUGGUGGGAAGGAGGAAAACCAGGUGAGGCUUACCAGCAGGAGUAGAUGUCCUGUUUCUGAAGUCAGUGGGAGUAUUAGGAGAUCAUCCAUCCAAUCCCCGUUCUCAGGGCUCCGAUUUUUAGGGCCUGGGCUUUGGACAACAUACUCCCUCACCAGAAAAGGGCAAUGAUGUAAUGGUGGUGAGUAACUACAUGCCACUGGUUCUAGCAUUUCCUUCCUACUAUGGUGUGUCUGCUUUGUGCCAUUCUUUCAUCUUCUCCUUUCAAGUAUGAGAGUCUGAAAAUGCUUGUUCACUUUUAACAGAACUGGAAAAAACAGUUCUUGGUCUCUAGCAGUUGAUUAUUGGAGUAAAUGCAGUGCAAAAUGAAUAUUUUGUGUUGUCCAACGGAUUAGCUAUUUUUAAAGUACAGUACACUCUCAAUGUAGUUUCUGGUUGUUUGAGAGUUACUUCUAAAAAUAGUCUUAACUAAUAUUAUACCCUAUACUAUACCAUACAAUAAAUUCUGUAUUGACUUGAUGCUAAUAUUGAAAUACAAUAAUUAAAGACAAAUUUAACUUAAUAUAAUACUUCUGCUAACUUUUUAUUUGAUUUUAAUUUGUAUUUAAA